UGUUGGCUUCUGGUCUCCACGUGCAUGUAUGCAUGCAAGUAUGUGUAUACAUACACACAUAUACAUGCAUGUACACUCAUA
rnacentral:miRNA from 14 species